rnacentral:misc_RNA from 1 species
GAUGAAGAACGCAGCGAAAUGCGAUACUUGGUGUGAAUUGCAGAAUCCCGUGAACCAUCGAGUCUUUGAACGCAAGUUGCGCCCGAAGCCAUUAGGCCGAGGGCACGCCUGCCUGGGCGUCACACGUCGUUGCCCCCCCAUCUACUCCUUCGGGAUUGCGGGGGGCGGAUGAUGGCCUCCCGUGCGCCUUGUCGCGCGGUUGGCAUAAAUGCCAAGUCCUCGGCGACGCACGCCACGACAAUCGGUGGUUGCGAAACCUCGGUUGCCCGUCGUGUGCGGUCGUCGCGCAUCGAGGGCUCUAAAAAAUUGUCGGGCUCCGGCUCGGCUUUCAACGCGACCCCAGGUCAGGCGGGGUUACCCGCUGAAUUUAAGCAUAUCAAUAAGCGGAGGA